rnacentral:rRNA from 1 species
AUUGAACGCUGGCGGCAGGCCUAACACAUGCAAGUCGAGCGGAUGAAGGGAGCUUGCUCCUGGAUUCAGCGGCGGACGGGUGAGUAAUGCCUAGGAAUCUGCCUUGUAGUGGGGGAUAACGUCCGUAAACGGGCGCUAAUACCGCAUCCGUCCUGAUGGAGAAAGUGGGGGAUCUUCGGACCUCACGCUAUCAGAUGAGCCUAGGUCGGAUUAGCUAGUUGGUGGGGUUAAGGCCUACCAAGGCGACGAUCCGUAACUGGUCUGAGAGGAUGAUCAGUCACACUGGAACUGAGACACGGUCCAGACUACUACGGGAGGCAGCAGUGGAGAAUAGUGGACAAUGGGCGAAAGGCUGAUCCAGCCAUGCCGCGUGUGUGAAGAAGGUCUUCGGAUUGUAAAGCACUUUAAGUUGGGAGGAAGGGCAGUAAGUCAAUACCUUGCUGUUUUGACGUUACCAACAGAAUAAGCACCGGCUAACUUC